rnacentral:rRNA from 2 species
UGGGGAAUAUUGGACAAUGGGCGCAAGCCUGAUCCAGCCAUGCCGCGUGUGUGAAGAAGGCCUUUUGGUUGUAAAGCACUUUAAGCGAGGAGGAGGCUACUUGGAUUAAUACUCUAAGAUAGUGGACGUUACUCGCAGAAUAAGCACCGGCUAACUCUGUGCCAGCAGCCGCGGUAAUACAGAGGGUGCGAGCGUUAAUCGGAUUUACUGGGCGUAAAGCGUGCGUAGGCGGCUUCUUAAGUCGGAUGUGAAAUCCCUGAGCUUAACUUAGGAAUUGCAUUCGAUACUGGGAAGCUAGAGUAUGGGAGAGGAUGGUAGAAUUCCAGGUGGAGCGGUGAAAUGCGUAGAGAUCUGGAGGAAUACCGAUGGCGAAGGCAGCCAUCUGGCCUAAUACUGACGCUGAGGUACGAAAGCAUGGGGAGCAAACAGG